UACGUAGGCAGCGAGCGUUGUUCGGAGUUACUGGGCGUAAAGGGUGUGUAGGCGGUCGUUUAAGUUUGGUGUGAAAUCUCCCGGCUCAACUGGGAGGGUGCGCCGAAUACUGAAUGACUUGGAGUGCGGGAGAGGUGAGUGGAAUUCCUGGUGUAGCGGUGAAAUGCGUAGAUAUCAGGAGGAACACCGGUGGUGUAGACGGCUCACUGGACCGUAACUGACGCUGAGACACGAAAGCGUGGGUAGCAAACAGG
rnacentral:rRNA from 1 species